rnacentral:lncRNA from 1 species
CGAUGUCUGUAACUAUCUAGUAGUAGACCGCUCAGAGCCGCGUGGAGUUUGUUAUGGAGAGUAGUGGCGUCAGGGGUCGUUCAGGGCCACGUGGAGCUUGUUGCAGAGAGUGGAGUGGUGUCCAUUGUCGGGACUUGCCAGAGAGUGGUGGAGCUGCAUGGAUCCGUUGUAGAGAGUGGGGCAGGAGGGCGGCUCUUGUUGUGACUUGUCAGAGAGUUUGGAUCCAUCGGCUGAAGCUCGGCUGGGAUACCUGAUGG